GGCAUACAUGUUCCCAGAAAAGGUCACACGGACAUUAUUUCAAGAGAUGCCGAUCUGAUUGUCAAUCUGGCCUCCACGGCAGCCUCACUGACAUAAACACUUUGCGUACAUAAGUCGGUCAUGAUCAUUUUAGAUGUGAUAAUUUGCGCUUACGGAGAGGAGUUAAAGGCGUUACCUCCUGGGUUGAGGGGGUUGGUUUGCCUGAUCUGCUGACGAAUUGUAUAGCGGAUACCACUGCUAGGAAAUACAGAUAUGGCCUUGAUGCGUGGGAACGGUGGGCUAAUUCUUGUUUAAUGGCUACGAGGUCACCGAUUUCACCUUUACACUGCGCAUUAUAGUUGCUGUCUGUUGUUCAGCAGAGUGAAUCGUUUAAAUUUGCUCCUGUGCUAACUGCGUUUUAUAGUAUUCGCCAUGCUCAUUUGAUAGUAGGAUUGCAAAGCCCGACUGAGAAUGGUUUAGUCAAAAAUGUUU